rnacentral:rRNA from 1 species
UACGGGGGGGGCAAGCGUUGUUCGGAAUUACUGGGCGUAAAGGGCUCGUAGGUGGCCAACUAAGUCAGACGUGAAAUCCCUCGGCUUAACCGGGGAACUGCGUCUGAUACUGGAUGGCUUGAGGUUGGGAGAGGGAUGCGGAAUUCCUGGUGUAGCGGUGGAAUGCGCAGAUAUCAGGAGGAACACCUAUAGCGAAGGCAGCUUGCUGGGACGACACUGACGCUGAGGCGCGAAAGCGUGGGGAGCGAACAGG